GAUGAACGCUGGCGGCGUGCUUAACACAUGCAAGUCGAACGGUGAAGGCGGAGCUUGCUCUGCUGGAUCAGUGGCGAACGGGUGAGUAACACGUGAGCAAUCUGCCCCUGACUCUGGGAUAAGCGCUGGAAACGGCGUCUAAUACUGGAUACGAGCUGCGAAGGCAUCUUCAGCAGCUGGAAAGAACUUCGGUCAGGGAUGAGCUCGCGGCCUAUCAGCUUGUUGGUGAGGUAACGGCUCACCAAGGCGUCGACGGGUAGCCGGCCUGAGAGGGUGACCGGCCACACUGGGACUGAGACACGGCCCAGACUCCUACGGGAGGCAGCAGUGGGGAAUAUUGCACAAUGGGCGAAAGCCUGAUGCAGCAACGCCGCGUGAGUGACGACGGCCUUCGGGUUGUAAACCUCUUUUAGCAGGGAAGAAGCGAAAGUGACGGUACCUGCAGAAAAAGCGCCGGCUAACUACGUG
rnacentral:rRNA from 1 species